GGCAUGAUAGAGGAUUUUGCAACCCGCUCGAGACGGUGUGGCAUAUUCUCUUUGAUGCACCCACUUUGACUUGAUUUCUCUUUAUACAUAUAUUCUUCUUACUAUUUUUGAGUAUUUCAGUUUAGCAAGUGAUUUAAAUUUCGGGACGAAAUUCUUUUAAGGGGGGUAGAUUGUAACACCUCACCCCCAUUUUAUUUAAAAAUGGUUUUUAAUUCUUAAUUGGUGUGCCCAAGGGGCCCACCUUCUGUUUUUGUGUCCCCCAUUCCCGUCACUCUUCCUUCUCUCUCUGUCCCUCCCCCGUGAACUCCCUUCUUUCUUCUUCUUCUUUUCUGUUUUCUUUUCUUCCUUCUUCUGUCUGUCUCUCGGCUCUCUCUCUUCCCCUGGACUCACUAGGACCGAGUCACCAUCGAAGAGAGGCUCGCAAUGAACCCCGGACCCUGCCCUGCGAGUUCGACGACACGGAGUAAGCUCCGGCGAGCACCUCCCCUUUCGAGGCCAUUUCCGGCCCAACCAAGACGAGUUGGCCGGCGUGCAAGUUUCCGACGAGUCCGACGGCUUUCGAGGCGUUUUCCGGCCAAACCACGGCGAGUUAGACGUCGUGUGAGGGGCAAUAUUGGUGACGUUUUCUUGUUCGUUAGUUUGCAUGGCUCUUCGGCGGCUAAGUACUGUGAGUGGACCCCUUCUAAAAUGCAUGUUUUAUAGUAGAAAUGCAUACAU